rnacentral:rRNA from 1 species
AAAACUUUUAACAACGGAUCUCUUGGUUCUGGCAUCGAUGAAGAACGCAGCGAAAUGCGAUAAGUAAUGUGAAUUGCAGAAUUCAGUGAAUCAUCGAAUCUUUGAACGCACAUUGCGCCCGCCAGCAUUCUGGCGGGCAUGCCUGUUCGAGCGUCAUUUCAACCCUCAAGC